rnacentral:rRNA from 1 species
CUAAUGGCUCAUUAAAUCAGUUAUCGUUUAUUUGAUAGUACCUUACUACAUGGAUACCUGUGGUAAUUCUAGAGCUAAUACAUGCUGAAAACCUCGACUUCGGAAGGGGUGUAUUUAUUARAUAAAAAACCAAUGCCCUUCGGGGCUCCUUGGUGAAUCAUAAUAACUUAACGAAUCGCAUGGCCUUGCGCCGGCGAUGGUUCAUUCAAAUUUCUGCCCUAUCAACUUUCGAUGGUAGGAUAGUGGCCUACCAUGGUGGCAACGGGUAACGGGGAAUUAGGGUUCGAUUCCGGARAGGGAGCCUGARAAACGGCUACCACAUCCAAGGAAGGCAGCAGGCGCGCAAAUUACCCAAUCCCGACACGGGGAGGUAGKGACAAUAAAUACUGAUACGGGGCUCUUUUGGGUCUCGUAAUUGGAAUGAGUACAAUCUAAAUCCCUUAACGAGGAACAAUUGGAGGGCAAGUCUGGUGCCAGCAGCCGCGGUAAUUCCAGCUCCAAUAGCGUAUAUUAAAGUUGUUGCAGUUAAAAAGCUCGUAGUUGAACCUUGGGUCUGGCUGGCCGGUCCGCCUCACCGCGAGUACUGGUCCGGCUGGACCUUUCCUUYUGGGGAAUCUCAUGGCCUUCACUGGCUGUGGGGGGAACCAGGACUUUUACUGUGAAAAAAUUAGAGUGUUCAAAGCAGGCCUUUGCUCGAAUACAUUAGCAUGGAAUAAUAGAAUAGGACGUGCGGUUCUAUUUUGUUGGUUUCUAGGACCGCCGUAAUGAUUAAUAGGGAUAGUCGGGGGCGUCAGUAUUCAGCUGUCAGAGGUGAAAUUCUUGGAUUUGCUGAAGACUAACUACUGCGAAAGCAUUCGCCAAGGAUGUUUUCAUUAAUCAGGGAACGAAAGUUAGGGGAUCGAAGACGAUCAGAUACCGUCGUAGUCUUAACCAUAAACUAUGCCGACUAGGGAUCGGACGGUGUUUCU